rnacentral:rRNA from 1 species
GGUAUGCUUUACACAUGCAAGUCGUACGAGAGUUUUUAACUCAAGUGGCGGACGGGUGAGUAACACGUAAGAAUUUGCCUUUAGGAGGGGGACAACAACUGGAAACGGUUGCUAAUACCCCAUGUGCUUUCGAGUGAAAUGGAUUUAUCCGCCUAGAGAGAAGCUUGCGGCUGAUUAGCUUGUUGGUGAGGUAAUGGCUUACCAAGGCGACGAUCAGUAUCUGGUUUGAGAGGACGAUCAGACACACUGGAACUGAGACACGGUCCAGACUCCUACGGGAGGCAGCAGUGGGGAAUUUUCCGCAAUGGGCGAAAGCCUGACGGAGCAAUACCGCGUGAGGGAUGACGGCCUAUGGGUUGUAAACCUCUUUUUUCAGGGAGGAAUCAAUGACGUGUACCUGAAGAAUAAGCAUCGGCUAACUCCGUGCCAGCAGCCGCGGUAAGACGGAGGAUGCAAGUGUUAUCCGGAAUCACUGGGCGUAAAGCGUCUGUAGGUGGUCAAAUAAGUCAACUGUUAAAUCUUGAGGCUCAACCUCAAAAUCGCAGUCGAAACUAUUAGACUAGAGUAUAGUAGGGGUAAAGGGAAUCUCCAGUGGAGCGGUGAAAUGCGUAGAGAUUGGAAAGAACACCGAUGGCGAAGGCACUUUACUGGGCUAUUACUAACACUGAGAGACGAAAGCUAGGGUAGCAAAUGGGAUUAGAUACCCCAGUAGUCCUAGCCGUAAACAAUGGAUACUAGAUGUUGAACAGAUCGACCUGUGCAGUAUCAAAGCUAACGCGUUAAGUAUCUCGCCUGGAAGUA